rnacentral:rRNA from 1 species
UACGGGGGGGAGCAAGCGUUGUUCGGAUUUACUGGGCGUAAAGGGCGCGUAGGCGGCGUGACAAGUCACUUGUGAAAUCUCCGGGCUUAACUCGGAACGGUCAAGUGAUACUGUCGUGCUAGAGUACAGAAGGGGCAACUGGAAUUCUCGGUGUAGCGGUGAAAUGCGUAGAUAUCGAGAGGAACACCUGCGGCGAAGGCGGAUCUCUGGGCCUUACCUGACGCUGAGGCGCGAAAGCUAGGGGAGCAAACAGG